rnacentral:lncRNA from 1 species
CGCCGAUGACAAGCUGGGGCUCUAUUGAAGGUCGCCAUGGAGUUCUCAAUAAAAGCACAACAAGGUUAAGGUGGUGAUUGUUCGUGUUAACCGUUGUUGUUAGAUUUUCAUCAUGGCUUUAUUUCCGAGUUUGCAUGUAGAUGAAGCUGCGGCAUGUGCACACUUAUAGAUGUGGUCAUGUGUACACAUUGCAAAGCUUGUUAGUCAUGUUAAGAGGUGUCAUCUUGGUGUUGUGCAUGUAUGGCACCAAGUAUGCGUGUGAGUCUUCAUCCAAGAGUUAGUUAGUUGCAAGCCUGGAUAGUAGGAGGAGUGAAUCACACGUACAUGCAUGGAUAGAGUUUGUUGGUAGAUUGGCUUAGAAGUGAUCCUAGUAAUCAGUCCUUAUCUCCAAGAUGUGGGAAGAUCGGCCGAGUCGUGUGGCCAAUUCAUGGGAUUACUAGUGGUCAUUUGUACCAUCUAGUGGAGCUAGUCGUGGUGUGACUGGCUUGGGUAUGUGCACUACUAAUAGGUUGUAUAACAACUUCAUUUGCGUUGAGUGAGAAUGCAAGAGAAAAGGGCACAAGUUGUGUGCGGUGCCAAGACUCUGGGUGUUCUUCUAUCUAUGUGUGCGUGAGUUCAUCUUCAACCUUGGGCAGAGAUUUCACUUUGAUGUUCAUUAUGUGCAAGUUGGACGAUGCCGCCGAUUGCAUCAAUACAAGUUUGAACGGCUAUAUUUGGUUCCAGGUAUGCCUGGUGUAGUUAACACAUGAAAUUUAUUUUAGUUUUACACAUUUAUCCGGUGUGAUGUUUAAGCAUGACCUACGUUCUAUUCAUUUUCAACAAUACCAGUUUGAAAUGCAAUAUUUAAUGGUUGUUAAGCCUGUUGUAGGUUACAUUCCCUUCCAUUUUAUAUCUGCUUUAACAGCAUCCUGAAACCAACACAUUCAAGCUAUCAUUUGGAGAUGAUGUUGUUUACCUUUGCUAUAUUUGUUUGAUGUUAAGGUUCUUGUACUUAUCAUGCCUUUCCACUACUUAUGCAGGACAACAAUGGGAGUGGCCACCAUUUUCCACCGAGGUUAGUUUCAUCCCUUGGCUUGUACUCCCCCCGUCAAUCCAUAAUGUAGUGCAUAUAGAUCCAGGUCUGGACUCUUGUUAGCUUCUAAUAUUGACUUGAUGCUUGUAGGUACAUAUGCCCUUGGCAAGGCUCCACGCCUCGAUCCUUUUUGCGUAUGGGGCAAUGAGAUAUUCAUGAACAAGCAUCAAGUGACGAAACUUAUAAGGAUAUUAUUAGCCAAAAGAUACGAACGGUGGCAAGCAAAUUAUUUGUUUACGCUCUAUCCAACACAACAGUGAGCUGUAGGAUGGUAACUACAAACUCUGCAGCCUUCUCUUUUUACUGCCCAUCAUGAGUUGUUAGACAACAAUGUCUGAAUCUUCUUCGUUCGCAGUGGUUCCCGAAGCAUUUUACUCAAGAUUACCUCGCAAUGUACAUGAUUGGUGGACACGCAAUGAAGGUCAAAUUAUUUCAUCCGGACUACAAUGAGCAUCGAGAAGUCCCAAUGAAGAUAUUGAAGGAUGGACUGGCAACCAUCACAAGGGGUUGGCCUAGAGUUGUGUGCGCAUUACGCAUGGAGGAGGGAACAAUAUGGGCUUUCCGCUUAACCUUCUCUAGCAACCAGAAUGUCUUUGGCCUCUCUCUUUACAGUCUUUAGUACAACUGUAGCUCAUCAUUCUUUACUUGGUGCUUCUGUAGUUUGUCAGUAUAUGUAUGUGUGCAUUGAAUUACGCAUUCGUGCUUGAACCUAUAUUUGUAAUAAACAUGAUUCAAUAUUAAAUAAGUGAUUGCCUACUUUCAAAUUCAAAA